AUUCAUUUCGUUUUUCAUUUUCUGCGUUUAAGUACACGUUUUUUUUAGUCGUAACUUUGUUCUAUUCGGCAAUUGGAAUCAUGAGCUCAAUAACAAUUUUAUCCGCUGUAUUCAUAAUUUUGGCUGUAAAGAAUACGCCUGUUUUGGCUGGCGUUGAUUUUGUGCAGGGAGAGGAAAUCAGUCGCCCGUUGAAUUGUCAUCACGGAUAUAUUCUCAAGGCAGGCGAAUUUUUCUCAGUUGACGGAGGUGUGGGUUGCAUAUUUGGUUUACCAUGCAAGCAAUAUAAGAAUGGAUACAUUAUGAACUGUGGUGCUGCGAGUAAAUCUGGUUGGAAUGUAGUGAGAGAGAUGGCGCAAAAGGGAAUAACAAUUCCGUCGUAUAAAGAAAAAAAACUUAGCCUUACGGAAAUCAAGAACUUGAUGAAUGAAAUGAAAAAUAAGAUAGAAAACUAGCGGGAAUAUUGUAAAUGAAAUGGAAAUUCAUGCAUCAAACUAAACUUAUUCUCAAUUGCAUUUUUUAUAGUGAAAAUAAUUAAUAAAAUUUAAUUUUUUCUCAUCAUA